CCUACGGGAGGCAGCAGUAGGGAAUAUUGCUCAAUGGGGGAAACCCUGAAGCAGCAACGCCGCGUGGAGGAUGAAGGUUUUCGGAUUGUAAACUUCUUUUGUUAGAGAAGAUAAUGACGGUAUCUAACGAAUAAUCACCGGCUAACUCCGUGCCAGCAGCCGCGGUAAUACGGCGGGUGCAAGCGUGAAUCGGAAUCACUGGGCGUAAAGCGCGCGUAGGCGGGAUAGCAAGUCAGAUGUGAAAUCAUAGGGCUUAACCAUAGAACUGCAUUUGAAACUGUUAUUCUAGAGUGUGGGAGAGGUAGGUGGAAUUCUUGGUGUAGGGGUGAAAUCCGUAGAGAUCAAGAGGAAUACUCAUUGCGAAGGCGACCAGCUAGAACACAUCUGACGCUGAGGCACGAAAGCGUGGGGAUCGAACAGGAUUAGAUACCCUUGUAGUC
rnacentral:rRNA from 1 species